UUCAGGCUAAUCCAUGAAAAAAUGCUGUUGAUCACAACAUCCUUUGAGAUGAAAUUGGUGCAACAGUGAAUGUCUGAGCCCUCUGACCUGCCUUUGGAAGAAUCCUGUUAGGUCAGGUCAGACAGAAUACCUGCUCACCCUUGAUGCUUCCUCUUAGUAACUUUCCAUCUAUCAGCCAUCGGGGAAUCUCGCCACUCUCACCCUCACAACCUGCUCCAUGAAUAUAAAUUCCUAAUUUUUCCUGUUGAGGAAGGAACUUUGAGUUGAACCCAAUCUUCUCUCCUCCUGCAAAACCCCCUUAGCAACCAUAAUGAUUUCCAUGAAUAAAGUCAGCCUUAACAUUUUAACAAAUGUCAUAAGAGUAUUUUAACAUAGCCAAAAUUAGAACACUGGUGACCCUCCAGAUGCCUCACUGUAAGCAAGAUAUAUACCAGGCCUAACUUAUCACCAGGCAUACUCAGAACUGGGUGUGAAACUGCAGAGGCUGAGCUAACAGUAUGGACCGACACCUGCAGUAAGAUGGGACGAGGGAGGGAAGAGUCGUGAUUAGUACUGUGACAUUUAUCAGGAGGUAUUUCCUGUCUUUUUCCAAUUCUAAAAAUGUUUUGAGAGUAAUUAUGUCUGAACUAAUUCAAUGCUUAAACAAAAUUCUAAUUGAUCAAAAUAAUAAAAUUAAAAUCUUAACCUUGUCUUUGGUUCCUCACCAACAGUGACACAUGUUUUCACAAGAGUUAAAAUGUUUCUGAUAUAGAAUGCUUCUCAUUUUAUGGAGUUCUCAUUUUAUGGUGUUUAGUAUACAUUUAGAGCCAUAUGUCUCUUCUGAUUUAAAAGUCAGAUGGAAUGAGAUGAAUUAAAAAAGGUUUUGGCAUUUAGAUGGUUAUCUGCAUAAUAAAUUACUGUGUUAAUUAUACUUUCCUGAAUCACACAGAGGGAUUUGCCCAGGAGAGUCAAUAUUAAUUUUGGAGACUGGACACAUUAUCACUGAGUAUUAGAAUCUCACAUGAGUGUAUCUUUGAGUAUUACUUGUGGAUAUGCAGAUGCAAAUCAUGAAAAAAUACUUCAAAUGAAAAUAUGACUUCAAAAUGUCAUAUCAAAGAAUAAAAAGGCUGAUAGAAGAGAAUAAAGAUCUCAGAGACAAAUCCAAGAAACUUGGAAAAUCUGUCUUAUAAAUGUGUUAUAUUCAUAAAGCAAAAUUAUUUAACUCAUACAUUUCAAUCAAGAAGGCUAUCAAGUUUCAAUACUGUUUCAGGUCGGCUCCCCCUACCUUGCUGCUGGCACAAAAAUAAAUUCCCCUAUUAUAUAAAUAAUAUCAUUUAUAUUCAAGAUGUUUGUUGCUCUUAAUUCUAUUUAUUUGCUUGUCCUUAAGAGGUUCACCCUACUUUGUAAACUCCCAGUAACAACACAUUUUAUUUUAUGAAAAAUUUAACUGUACCUUAAUGGGAAGAGUUUUGAUGCUAUCAAAUCCCCCAUCUUGGCAGAAACAGAAACCCUAAUUUAGGCUCUUUGCAUAUCCCAUUCUCUUAUAGAGGAGGAACCAGGAGAGAUCUAGGGAUGAGGCUUACCGGUUUAAGGUCAAUGAUUGGUUCUUCAAUAAGAUACGGUUGGCUUUUUAACAUGGAAUUCUAAAUAAUAAUAGUGAAUAUAAAGAGGGGAGCAAAGUGAGAAUAAAAUAGCAUGUUUAUCAUGAUCAUACAUAAUACCAUGUAACUUAAAUGUUCUCAAAAUACUUUAUUCUUAUCAUAAUUGAAAGAAACACAACUUGUUAAUAAUCAGUAGGGCUUAAAAUGCUAUUUUUUCCCAAAGCCAUGGCAAGAGGUAUGUAUUUCAAGAAUUUCACUUAGAUCCUUUUGUUUUGUUAAGUAACAGACUAGAAAUACUCAUGAUUUGUCAUUUAUGUAGUACUUAUAUACUGUUAAAUUAGACAUUAUAAUACAUUGGGGUUUUAUUUUCAUUGAUAAAAGGAACAAUCUACCUGUAUAUAACAUUUAAAUCAUUCUCCUCUGUUUCUGACACACCUGCUAGUUUUCUUAAUGCUUCAAUAACAGGUUGAAUUUGGCCAUGUUAUUACCUCUUUUAUAGAGAAUUAAUAAUCAUUUUCCCAGAGGAAACAUAGAACCAUUUUCAUAUUUUCUUAUUUACUUAUUUUCACAUUUACUUAUUUAAUUUAGCUAUGCAUUUCGAUGUUUAAAUCACUUGUUUUUAAAACAUAAGGACAUUUUUUGAAUGCAGAUAAACAUCGAGAUCUUCAAGCAUUGUACCCAAAUGUUCUUUUUCAAAUCAGAAUGUAGGCUUCCUCCUAAAAUACAGUUUCAUAAAUUUUUCUUAGUAUGUCCUCCAAACUGGUUUUAAAAGGUUUGAGUUUCCUAUAGUUCACUUUUCUACUCAUUGACUUCCUAAGACCUCUUAUCCUCCUAUCUCAUAAGUCAAAGAUUAAUCUGGCACAUUUCCUUAGUAAUUUCAGUAACACUGUGUAUGCAGUAUUUAAAACUUAUUAACAUAUAUGUACCAUCUGUUCCCAAUUUAAAUAUCACACACUGAGAUUUCUAAGUUUAUACAUCUUAAGAUAUUAUUUUAAAUUUUUUCUAGAAUUUUCUUCAUGUUCUUAUAGUUACCUAAAUAUACAAUUUUAUUCUUAAGAUCUAAGCUGCAAUCUAAGUGAAAUUAUAUUACAAGCAUGGGACAAUGUGAAUUGCAGGGUUGCAGUGCAAAGAGCAGAGAUGGAGUCAGGCAGAAUUCGGAGUUGAAUCUAGACUCUCUCAUUUAGUUAGAUAUCAGUCUGUAUAAAUACUUUGAAUACCAGGAAAAGGUAUGUCCUCCACUGUGCAAUAUUUACAAAGGAGAAAAUAAAUACCCAACUGGCAAAGUUGCUGUGAAAUGAAUACUAAUGAAAUAUUUAACAGUAUUUUAUCACUAGCAAACUAAAUGCUUUAUAUAUUUUAACUUUCCUCAUAACACGUCAAUGAGAUGGAAAGCAAGUAUUUCCAUUUUAUAGAUGACAAAACUAAAGCACAGAGAGGUAACCGCCUGAUGUGAUACAAUGAGUGAUAAAGGGAUUCCAAAUCAGACAGCCUGGCUCUGGGUCCCCACUGUUUCAUUGUCGGCAAGCUUGAAAUGGUAAUGUAUUCCAGUGCAUGUCUGAUUGAUACUUUGCACAAUUUUCAUUGUUCUGUAGCUAAUAGUGUAUUAUUUUUCACGAAUAAAAUUAUAUUAAAUUCAACCUUAUGAAAAUGUAUAUUAUUUAAUAAUAGGAAUUUUGCAAUUACAGUCUAGAAAAAGACUUUAACUGUAUUACCAUUUUGGGUAACUUUUCUGCCAUCAUAUAAUUGUUCUCAUGCUUCAAAGUUAAUUGGUAAAAAUGGGUUUUGUUUUAAGAUUCUAAGUUUAAAUUAAAAAAAUUUAAAUGGAAAUCUAUUCCAUAAAAGCAAAAAUAUAAAAAUGAAAAGAAAGAAGUUUAGGAAAUGCAGGCCCAAGGAUCAUUUUCAGAAGAAAUUCUGGAACGGCAGCCUCACUUUCCCUUGUUUCCAUUUCCGCUAAAUAUUUUUAUGGCUUUCAACUUUCCAGGGAAACUAUACCAAAUGAAAAAAUAAUUUUAUGUAACAACAACAAUGAAAUUGUAAGAACUUCACUGUUCUUACAUAUGUGUUUAUCUGUAUCUGUAUGCUUACAUUAUUAAACAUAUUUGCCUUGAAACCGUAUCCAUCCCCCGAACUUUGUUGGUUGAUUUAAAAGAAUUCAGCCACUGCUAUAUACCGGAAGUCUCAGUUUGCACAUUAAUCAUUUAAGAUACAUAUGAAAAAGGUAAAUUUUAAUUCUUUACCUCAAGAGAAAUCUGAUUCGUAACAUAAUUAUACCACUCUUCUGUGAUUUAAUUAUAUGCAAACAUAUGAUCAAACUAUUACCCAAAUUUUUAAUAUCCCAGAUCUCAAAACGUAUUUUUUCAAUAACAUUGAUGAGUCUAUAAACGUAAAGAAUGUCUCAGUUCCUUCUGUCCUCUUAACCAUAAUUACGCCUUCUGUUUGACUUAGCCAACACUCUGGUCAUACAUGAAGUCUUCUUUUUACCUAUAACUUCCCCUUCCCUGUAAUUCUGAUUUCUAGUAUCUCUUCUUUUGACCAAUAUCCUCUGUCCUUCCAGAUCAUCCCUCCUCCUCUUGCUUCAAAAAUUACUCAAGGACACCGGGGCCACCAGUCUACGGACUCAACCAUCUCUAACCAUUUUUCCCUCUUCCUCCACUUGAAUUCUUCCUCCCUUAUUUGCUCCCAUGGUCCAUCUAUAAUCGAGAGCUACUCUCCCUAUUUAGUUAGACAGUUACUAAAUUGCUGUCUCCAGUGUAUUCUUUCCCCCUGAAAUUUACCUUAAACUUACCCCUGUAUUCACAAAAACAAUCUUUUACAGAUCACUUAUGGUCGUAAAAUUGUUAAAUUCAAUGGUCAAUCAUCAGGUUGUAUCUUACUGGACUUAUCAGAAUCAUUUAUCAAAACUGAUCACUCUUGCCAUCUUAAACUGUCUUCAUUAGUUUCCACCUUGUUUGGAUUUUUCCCCCCUCUUACUUCAAUGCCUUUUUUCCCCAUUAUUUGUUUUGUUUUCUCCUCACCACUCUGAGGUUGGACUUCAGUUCUGACUUCUCUACAUAUACUCUUACCAUGCAUGUUCCUAUACAUUUGCACAGCUUUAAACAUCAUCUUUUAUGUCUCCACUCAGAUCUAAACAAGGCAUCUCACUCAACAUCACUGAUUAUCAGAGAAAUGCAAAUCUAAACUACAGCGAGGCAUCACCAUACACUGGUAAGACUGGCCAUAGCAUUGAAAAGUCUACAGACGAUAAAUGAUGGAGAAGUGUGGAGAAAAAGGAACCCUCCUAUGCUGUUGUUGGGAAUGGAAAUUGGUACAGCCACUAUGGAAAACAGUAUAGAGGUUCCUUAGAAAACUAAAAAUAGAACUACUAUAGGAUCCAGCAAACCUACUUCUGGGCAUAUAUCCAGAGAAAACUAUAAUUCAGAAAGAUACAUGUACACUUUGCAGUACUAUUUACAAUAGACAAGACAUGAAAGAAACCUAAGCAUCCCCUGACAGAUGAAUAAAGAAGAGGGGAGACGUACACGCAAUGUAAUAUUCCUCAGCCAUAAGAUAGAAUGAAAUAAAGUCAUUCAUGUGACAUAGAUAGACCUAGAGAUAAUGGUACUAAGUGAAGUAAGUCAGGCAGAAAAAGACAACUAUUAUAUGAUAUAAUUAUAUGUGGAGUCUAAAAAAUUACACAAAUUUAUUUACAAAAAAAUAUAGAACCACAGACGUAGAAAACAAACUUAUGGAUUACUAAAGGGGAAAAAGUGCAGAGGGAUAAAUUAGGAGUUUGGGAUUAACAGAUAAACACUACUAUAUAUAAACUAGAUAACCAAUAAGGACCUACCAUGUAGCACAGGAAACUAUACUGAAUAUUUUACAAUAAUCUAUAAUGAAAAAGAAUUUAAGAAAAUAUAUAUACAUAUACAUAUACAUACAUGUGUAUAUAUACGUAUUAGUAUAUAUAACUGAAUUGCUUUAUUGUAUACUUUAAUGCAUUAUAAACCAAGUACAUUUCAAUAAAAAUUUAAAUAAAUAAACAAUAAAUAAAAGAAGUAGUUCAAACAUGAAGCAUCCAAAAGUUUACAAUUUUCAUCCAAACCGUGGUCUUCCUUUAAUCUUUCCCUUCUCAGAAAUGACUUUAUUCUUCAAAAUUUAAAAGUCCUCUUUAAUAAUAUUGUAACCUGUCUCUUUAAGCUUGUGUGUAUGGGAGUUCCUGUCAUGGCACAGUGGAAAUGAAUCUGACUAGUAUUCAUGAGAAUGCAGGCUGGAUCCCUGGCCUUGCCUAGUGGGUCAGGGAUCCAGCAUUGCCGUGAGCUGUGGUGUAGGUCGCAAACAUGGCUGGGAUCUAGCAUUGCUGUGGCUGUGGUGUAGACUGGCAGCUGCAGCUCCGAUUGGACCCCUAGCCUGGGAACUUCCAUAGGCCUCAGGUGUGGCCCUAAAAAGGGGAAAACAAAAACAAAAACAAUGCUUCUGUGCAUGUGUUUGUGUGUGUAUGUGUGAUACCUUCCACCGCCCACUACCUCCAGCAUUAGCGUUCUAGACAAAUUAACCAGUAACUCUCCUUGGAUUACUACCACAGACUUACAAUCAAUGUCCUUUUCCUUCUACUCUGUUUUUUGUUUGUUUGUUGCCAACCUGGGGCAUAUGGAGUGCCUGGGAUCAGCUCUUUUCUCCUCUUGAUUUGUAUUCUCUAUGUUCAACAAAUCAACCAGAGUUACUCUACCAAUAGAUAUCAGAUGGUAUUAAUUCUCAGUUCUACUGCAUUGCUUUCCAUGUCUUUGAGGGCAAAAGGCAUUCCUAGCUUGGUCAUAUUUCUGCCCCCACUGCCUCCCUGACAUCUUUUACAUCAUA
rnacentral:lncRNA from 1 species